rnacentral:RNase_P_RNA from 1 species
CGAGUGGAACAUACGGCGGCGGGACGGCUUUGUCCGUUCUGAGGAAAGUCCGGGCUUUUCAGAGGCAUGACAACUGCUAACGGCAGCCGGGGGUGACCCCAGGGAUAGUGCAACAGAAAUAGACCGCCGCGCUUUCGGGCGCGGUAAGGAUGGAAAGGCGAGGUAAGAGCUCACCAGCGCACUGGCGACUUUGCGGCUAUGUAAACCCUGUCAGAAGCAACAUCCGUAUGGGACAUAUGCGGAGCCUCGCGCGUCCCGGAGAUGGCAUGUGGGAUUUCCCACGGAGCCUUGCGGCAACGCAAGGUCAAGAUAGAUCGUCGUUUAAUACAGAACCCGGCUUACGGUCCAGUCGUUUU